GAAGACAGAAAACUACGUCCCACGAUCCUUCGGUAGAAAAUGGUGUUGCUCAGAGUGUCAUUUCCUGCCAAGGGUAGCUGCCUUCACCUGUGUAAAAAGGAGUCUGUUACCCUAUCCCAAAGUUUGGCUUUUUUUGGCUUGCAAAGAGAAGAGGCGGCUGGCAGGAAAAUGACAGAAGCAUUUUGAAUCCAGGCAGACUCAAAGCAGGCUGUGACCCAACUCCUAGGCCUAAGAGGGCUUUGCAUCCUCCAUUACAGAGGGCAGCCCUCAGCCUAACAGAGUUCUCUAUUUGAAGGAUUAUUGGGGUCAAGUCUGAUAAGAUAAAGAAAGAUAAAGAUAAAGAAUCACCUGAGCAGCCGUGCAAGUCACCUGUUUAGUCUUCUCCAUUAUGGUGAAAUAUAUUGUAUUUCUAUUUCAAAUCUGAUGCAAUUUGUUCUUCUCUUUUAUUCUCUUUUUUGAUGAAGCUUUUCCUCUUUUCCAGCAAUAUGUAACCUGCCACGCUUCUUAGAUCGUAAUCCCAUAUGUGUCUACUCAGAAGUGAAUCCCAUUGAGACAUACUCCCAGGUAAGUGUGUAUAGGAUUGCAAACCUAAUGGGCCAGACAUUUACAGCAGGUGGAGUCUGCAUUACAAACUCCCCACAGUUGCAAGACUCUUGACAUCCUUUUGUUGAGCUAUGAGCAGCCUCUCUUAAAAGUAUAACAGUUUAAAACUCCCGAUUCUUUCAAACUUCUUACCAUGUAACUUUUGUGGUUCUCUGAAUCAAUCUGUGCUGAUUUUCAGCAAUGACUGUCAUUAUGCAAAGGAAGGGACAUGGCUCACUGACAGAGCAUCUGCAAAUCAGUAAAUAUGCACCAGUUCAAACUGUGCUUCAGAAAAAGUUAUGACAAUAGAUCCAAGUUCCAGGAUUCAGAAGCACAGAAUUUAGUUCAGGGAACCACCAAAAGGCCAGAAUCUAAUGCCUGGACCAAGCUAAUAGACCCAGUAGUGGCAUUUCCAUAAAAUUAUCAGUUUUACAGCAGUUUAACUUUUGCAGCUUCUCCCAGAUAAUCCUGGAAAUUGUAGUUUGCACAAACUAAGCUGUCUAUCCCUCCCCCACAGAGCUAUAGUUCCCUUGCCAGGGUACGUUGAUGAUUAUAUAAACCAUUUUAAAUUUAGAGCAUAGAUGUAUUCACCAUUUUACACAAACAUACACUCCUUAAUAAAUCCCUGAAAAAUAAAUAUAGAAAAUAAUAAUUAUAGUCUACAAUUCUACUUGUUAAGGUGUGUUAGAGUAGGAUGGAACAACCAAAAUUGUCUUAGAAAAACAUGUAAUCUUAGCAAAGUAGACCUAAAUGACUCACAUGGCCUUGUGGGAGCUGGAAAACCAUUAAGUCUUAUUGCUUCAUACUGUAGUAAAGGUGACAGCCAUGACCAUUCCUAAUGCUGUACUUAUUUUUCUUACUACAGUCACAGUGCUCACAAAUUGCAUGCUUGUAAGUUACAAUUUGUGGUCCAAAAGCAAGCAAGUUUCUCAAAUAUGCUGUGGAAGGCAUUACAUCUACAGCAGAACUGUAUCUAACUUCUCAAACAGAUCACAAUACAGUACGUACUGAAAAAUGGUUUUGUAGUAGACACAGUUUACCUCCUAGAAUGGGAGUAUGGGGUUGUGUAGGAAUAAGCUCUGUUCCAAUUUUAGGCACGUAGGAAGCUAUGGUGUAUUCUCAUUUACAGGCAGGAGUCACCUGAGAAUCUGCAUGCAAAGCAGAUGCUCUACCACUGAGCUAUGGCCCUCAACCUAUAUUUUGUUUAAAUACAUGAAGGUCAGGAGCCACCAUGAUCCCAAACCCCACCAUUCCACAUAUUCAGCAGUUCAUUGUCUGGUCAAGGCUAGUCUUCAGAUAUUCAUACCUCAUUACAGCAAAAUGUAUAUAAUUGACUGGUAUAGCUAUAUCCUUUUUAUUACUUCUUUCUGUGCUUAAAUUCAUUUUGUUCCAUGUAUGCUACUGACACUGCUUUGAUAUCCUGCACCCACUUGAAACGGUUACACUUGUUAUACUUGUCUGGAUCAUGAGGUUACUUUAGCUCCAGGACAAUGCUCAUAAGGAGUCACCAAAUGUCACCGUUUCCUGUCUAACAAAAUGAAGGCUCUCUUUUUUCCCAAUCUGAUAUUUUUCUCAGCUGAAACAUUGGAUCUUAGAUGGUGUAAGCAAAUAGUUUUGCGUGAAAUUCCAUUAUUGUGUAGGUAUUUCUGCGUUUCCAUACAGAUUAAUUACCGGUAAAUCCCAAUAUAUACCACAAGGUGUUUAGGAACUGUUUCCAGCAAAAACUAAAGGCAUGAAUUAAAUUAACAUCUCUGGUAAUUUUUAGACCACUUCUGAAUGACAACAUAUCAUACUAGGGCAACUAUUUGUCCAAUUAACUGAUUAUUAUUAAUUUAUUUUUAUUAUUCAAUUUAUAUACUGCCCUUUAUCCGAAGAUCCCACAGCAGUGUACAACAUUAAAAACCUAAUUUAUAUUGUAUAGUAACAAAAGACAAUUAAACAAUCACGGUGGGGGGGGAUCAUAAUAACAAUCCCCCCACAUUUAAAAGGCCAUAGCUUGUUUAAUGGUCAAAGGCCUGGGUAAAGAGGAAUGUUUUCACCUGGCAUUAGACAAGACUCUCUGGGGAGAGCAUUCCACAGAUAGGGAGCCACCACAGAAAAGGCUCAUUCUCGUCUUGUCAACGCCUUGGGGCAGGAGAAUGUGGAGAAGGGCACUGGAUGACAAUUGCAGGAUCUGGCUUGGUUUGGAUUGAGAGAGGCGGUCCUUAAGGUAUUGAGGUCCUGGGCCAUAUAAAGCUUUAUAGGUAAUCAAAUGGCUCUAUUAUGUCACAGGUUAACUUCUCCCAUGGACUAGAUAACGGACAACAUGGCGCCUAUGAUUUGUCAUUUGUGGUAUAUGAUAGUUCAAGGGUGGAGAUGUGUUUUUCAACCCAAGGGCUGCAUUCCUUCAUAGCUAACCUUCCAGGGACCCCAUGCACACAGAGGGCUGGCCAAAGGCAUAUCCACAGCUAGCCAGCCACACCACAUUCUUUUCCAUACAUAUUAUGCACACCUAAUUCAGUCUCAACAGCCUAUCCACAUACUCUCCUUCAUCUAGAAAGAAAGCUAAAGGGAAAAAAACCCAUGGCACCAAGACCCUUUACCCACUCAAUAUUUUUGUCCCUCUCUGGCCAGCAAAAUCUUACUGAAGUUAACAUUUCAUUAGACUAAGACCGCUUCCAUACCAUACAUUUAAAGCACUAUAGUACUGUACUACUUUAACAGUCAUGGCUUUAUCCAAAGCAUCCUGGGAACUGUAGCUUGUUAAGGGUACUGAGAGUUGUUAGGAGAGCCCUGUUUUUACAGAAAUACAAUUCCCAGAGUUCCAUCUCUAGCUCUGUAAGGAGAUUAGGGAUUUCCUAAAAACCCUCAGCAUGAUGCAAUUAUAUUAACAAAAUAUCUGUGCCGGCCUCUGCAGCAAAAAUGAUAAAUCUAGCAACUGUUUCUCAUACUGUUUUGUUGGCCAAAAGGGGCUUUGCAAGGUUUGCAACCAAGUCCAAAGAACGAUGGAAGCUUAUCUUUGCUGCCCAUUUCUGGAGCUUCACAAACAACGUUUACUAAAUCAGAUUUUGGUAAUGUGUCUCUUGGGGGCUGGGAUAUGCCCUAGAUAUGCCACUGAAUCUGUCUUAGAUUGACAUUACUCCUGGCUACUUGUUUGCAUGAGUUUUUGAAGUUUUUCUAGGACAUUUUUCAGAGUAAUAUCGUAUUCCUACUUGCAACAGCUCUGGUUUCUCCAACGAUUGCAUGCAUUAUUCUCUGAAAGCACAAAUUCUGCAGAUAGCAUGCUGAAUUGUGUGUGUUUCAUUCUGUUCUCUUAUUUGCUUGUCAUUUUUCACAAAACAAAGGAAAAGUGCAAUAAGAAAAUAUAAAAGUUGAGAUACAACAACAACGACAAAGGUUCUCACUUUGGCAGCACAUAUACAACAAAUAAAAAUGGAACGAUACAGAGAAGAUUAGCAUGGCCCCUGCGCAAGGAUGACAGGCAAAUUCAUGAAGCCUUCUAUAUUAAAAAACAACAACAACAAAGAGAAAGUUGUUUAAAUUUGCAUCAUCAUCAUCUUUAUUACAGCCACAGACCUGCAUAUGUUAAAAUAGAAACACACAGUAAUUUAGGAAAUAAAACAGAUAAAAUGGGUAAAAUGUGUGACUCAAAGAAGGGGAGAUGCAUUUAAGAGAGACUUAAAAUCAGCUAGAGGGUUAGCGCAAGCAAUUGCAAAAGUAACUGUAGAAGGGAGGGUGCAAGAGAGGGCACAGGUCUUGCAUAUGAGCCUUCAGUUUAGGUCUGGCGUGUGACCCAAACCAUUAUUUGGCGAAUGUCCAUCAUGGCAGCGCAAAAUCUGACUGCUGAAUAUAUUAUGUCUGGGUUUGCAUCUUGAAGUAGCAAGGAGGUAAAGAGUUGCUCUGUCCAUCCAGGGAAUUUGUGUAGUAUUGGCAGGAUGGACCUGACUUGUAUGCCUGUAUAAUAUUGGCAGUGGAAGAAGACAUGUUCAGUAGUUUCUAGUUGCCCUGAGCCACAGGGGCAUUUCCUCUCCUCAUAUGGUACCUUCCUAAAAUGGCCUUCCUGGAUAGCUGAAUAGCUGGAUAGCCUUCGCUGUUUUGGUAUUUCUAGGUUUGUUAUAUAUGGCGUUUGGGAAUUAUGGUAUCUUUUGCUUUCACUGAUUAAAAAAUAAAUGAAUUGGGAUCUGGCUAGAUCUGCUUGGCAUUCUAUAUGUUCCAUACGCUGUUUAAUGGGUUUUUUGUUUUUACUUUUUCAUUUCCCAUGUCAAGUAAAAUUUGCGGGGUAAAACCUUGGGUUGUUGUUUUGUUUAGCACUGAUCAUUUCCAAGUAAUUCAGAAGUCGUCCUUUAUAAUUAGGGGAACAAGGCCAUGCAGGAAGAAGGAUAGACUCAGCCAGUAAUUAAGUGUGGCAAUCCACACUCUAGCCUCAGUUCUUACAAGUCCAGUUUCUAGGUGUAGGGUUGCACUGGAAACAUUUUUGGGCACUUGUAGGACUGAUCUUAGAAAUUUAGAUUGUACCAGUUCCAGUGUUGCACAGUUGGGGGGGCAGUUCAGCACAAUACAGCAGCCUCAAACUUUGCCUUUGCACAAUAUAGACUUUGCCUCAAACAAUUUGAAGGCUGCAGAUAUCAUGUGCCCACUUUUGGUCCUGAGAUAUUUGAGUAUGGCCGUUGCCAUUAAUUGAAAUAAGCCUUCUGGAGCUGUAAAAUGCAGUAUUCUUAUGGUAUGUCUUCUACUAAAGGAAUCUCAACUCUACCUGGUGAUGCCAAACAUUGAAACUAGGACUGCGACAAUGGAAGAAGCCCGUUUCCUUCCCGCCCUGGUUAUACUUCCCAGGGGCAUGUGAUUGGCCACUGCACUGUGGAAAUCAGGAAGCUGGAUUAGACAGACUAGUGUCUGGUCCAGCAGGGCUCAUAAUGUCCCCCCACUCUUUUUCCUAUUCUUUUCCUCCUUCCUCCGCUCCUUCUCUCCCCAAUGGACCUUUUCUGAAAAAUAAGCUGGGAAGGAAUGGCAGCUUCAAGGUUACAAAAAUGUAGUCCUUCAGUUUACCUAUGGAGGUGGCCUGGUUCACAUGAGCUGUCUUCAUCACACAAAGAGUUUAAUUCCUCCAGAAAGCCAACUCUCAUUGACCACAGCCAGCAUGACUAAUGGCCAGGGGUGAUGGGAAUUGUAGUUCAGCAACAACUGGAUGGCCACAGAUUCCCCACUCCUGAUGUAACUCACUAAGUUAACUUUUCAAGUGCACCUCUCAGGCUACAACCCCCUGCACAUUCACUUGGAAUAUGCCCUAUUAAAUACAGUUUAAGGGUAAAUAUUACAGAAUGGGGCUGACAAUAUGUACUUUGGAUGUACUUUUGUACGCCUGGUAAAAGUACAUCUAAACCCCUGUGAUUUAUUAUUACCGUAACUGCUAACACUACAGCUAACCUUAUGUUCCCAAAUAAAAUAUAGUGAUCUCUCACAUUUUUAGAUGCAGAUUAAAAGCUGUCUGGGUUUGGACAGCCUAUGUCGCCUGAUAAUUAUGGGUGGAGAGGUAGAGGACCCGGUCAUGAAAUCCACUUACACUACCCAUGGGUGUCUGCAGGAAUUUUUCCAGGGAGGAGUACAAAGUAAAACACUGAAAGGUGGAACAGGCUGGUUUCUUGCAAAAGAUUGUGAAGAAUAAUGCCUAUACAUUUUGCCUCCUAUAUUAGGUUCCAUAAAUGCUAGAAACAUACUCUUUUUUUUAACAGAAAGAAAGAAGGUUAAGAAAGAAAACUAUGGAUCUGGAAGAUAUUAUUCAUAAUAUUUAUUGAAUUUAUAUGCUGCCUUUCAUUAGAAGAUCACAGCAUGGUUUACAGCACAAAAAGACAAAAUAAAAAUACAAAAUAUAUAUCAUCAUAGUAAGAACAACAACAAACAAGAAAUACACCCCCCCAAACACAUUUAAAAUGCCAUAGAUUGUUUUAUCAGCCUAAAGACAUGUUGUGAAGGUGCCAGGCAAGCCUCCCUGGGGAAAGCAUUCCACAAACGGAGCCACCACAGAAAAGGCCCGUUCUCAUGUUGCCACCUUCUGGACCUUUCAUGGAAGGGGGACAUGAAAAAGAAAAUGGUUCACUGUGGGGGCCAAAUGUGGAUCCCCAUGGCCUCAGUCCAACUCCCCCCCAGUUUUAGCCAAAUCAUGCCCUCUCACAUAGCCUUCUAAAGGCAAUCAGUAAGAGGAACAGCUCAAAAUGGUUAGGGCGCUAUCCCUCUUCUGGUUCUUUGUAAUUCAAACAUUAUCAGAGUUCUCCAAGUCAUAUUGCUGCUUCUCAUAUGCUACUCCAUUCACCCUCCAAACAUUUGUCUCCCUACCCUACUUUGCACUUUCACAUUAAUGACUGGUUGAGAACACAUGCAAAACAACAACCCUAAAUGAGCAUUAUCCAUACAUCCUUUUUAUUAUGCAUUCUGUGCUCAUGAAGGUCAGGGAGGCUAUAUGUGGUAAUGUUUUCAAUACUGUUUGCACCUGCAAAUGUUUAGGGGUGGACAUACUACUUCAUAUCCAAUCAGUGCACAUUCCAUAACUUCCUGCUAAAAACCCUGUAGCUCUUUAUCAUCUUGUUUAUUUUUUGAAGCACUUUUGUCACAUGAUAGUGCACUUAUCCCUCCAGAGGGCAAUAAUGCGAUAACACUGGGGAAUAUCACAGGACAAGUAACAAAGCAAAAUGAUGUGUGGACAAUCAGACACCAGUUCCCUGUUAUUGCAUCAAUGACAUGUUGCAGAAUACACCCAGUCUGGAGGGGCCUUCAGUUGUCUUCCUCCUCCUUUUGCUCCUGUUCUUUGGCCUCUCUGUGUCUUACCCAUGUGGCCAAAGGGAGUACUGAAAUUAUCCAGGCUAACCUUUUACAUAGCACAAUUAAUGCAGAGCAUCAAAGCACUCAACCUCUUUCAUCAAUACCUGUCAUGUCCCAAUUGCUGGCCUGCAAAUUAAAGGAUGUAGGGUGAUUAUCAGAUCUGGUGAAGAAAGAAGUCAGUCUUCCAUGCCUUACCACACCUCAAGAACUGGAAAUAGUAGGCCAAAGUACUGUCUGUAGGUAUUAAGAUUCCUAUCUACCUUCUCUUGCUUGCAUCAAUCACUCUGCUUCCGUUGAGUCAGUUCCCUUGUUUGUGACUUAUUUUUAGAAAGCAAAGAAAGCCAGGUAGCAGACUGAACGCAUUUAGCUCCAGAAAUGGGGAGUCUGCAAGGAGCAGAGUUUGAUUGCUGCAUAUGCUGCUUUUUGGACAGUUCCUCCCACAGCAGUUUACACUGAGGUUAAAAAAACACCAUCUAUAAGGAUGCAAUAAAACAGCAAGAGGCAGAGCAGCAACAAUAUUAAAAGGUAAAUAAAAGGGAAACCAAAUUAAACGAGUAACAUGUUAAAAGGACUGGGCAAAUAAGAAGCACUGUAACUGGUGCUGAAGAGAUCAGGCCCUCCCUGACCAGAGCAUUCCAGAGAAGGGUGUUGGCUAAGUUCUCCUGAACCGGGCUCAGAAAAGAACUUCCAGGGCCCACCACAAAGGAAACUGGAGCAGGUGAAGAAUUGCCAGCUGCUUUGGCUGUCAAAUGCUUUGCACAGAUUAAGCCACACCUUUGUCAGCCAUCUCUUGGAUCGCAGGGACUUCAGGUGCCAAACACCUCCACACUGGUCCUGCGAAAUGUGAUGGAGCAAGGUCAUUCCAUUCCAUUGCAUACAGAAGAUUUUAGGAAGAAGAUUUCAAGCAUUGUUUUUGACUGCUAUCAAACCAGCCUCAAACAAUUAAGAAAUAGAGAAACUUCUCAGAUGAAGAAAUCAGCUAGGUAAACUUCUCAGGGCAUAACUAGAAAGGGCAUUUAAAAGUACUCAAGGUGGUUAGACAUACAUAGGCCUACACAACUUGUGAACCACCGAACUGAACUCUGCCCACCAAUGAGAUAUGAGAGUCCACCACAGGAUUAGCAAACCUCCCAGGUGUGUGUUUUUUUCUUUCUACCCCAAACUGCAAAAUCAUAGGGGUUGUCAAGCUAUAACUUGCAACCUACCAAGUCAAGUACAGCCACAAGGCAAUCACAUAUUCUGGUUGCUUUUGAGUUAUUAUUUUUUUGUGAUUUUUACUUAAUUUUUGUGAUUUGAUUUUAAGGAAUUCUAUGGUAGAUAGAAUGUGCAAACUGCUUUGGUUGUCCUUUGCUGGAAUGAUAGGUUAGAUUUUUUUUACAAUAACUUAAUAUAGGUAGGUAAUUAAUAUGGUAAUAUUAAUCUAGGAAAUAUAAUUGUUGUAUUAUAUAAGUAAUUAAUAUAGGUAACAUUAAUGAAGGUAGGAAAUUUGAGGGGGUUUUGCAGAUGCUGUCAAUGUGAUCCUGUGAAUAUCUAUUGAGAAGUAAUGCUCAUUGAGUUCAAUGGGACCUACUCCUAGGAUAUAUAAAGUAUUGCAGCCUAAAAACACUUCUCAGUCACUUCCCAUGAGGGUUUAAAGAAAAAAAUAUAGGAACAUGGUUAAUGCAUCAUGUAAUAAUUGGAAUUUGCUUAUUCAACAAUAAAAAUCCUGCUACUUAGUUAAUAUUAACAUUAGAGCAUUAAAGCACAGGUUAGUGUGACACCAUCAGGCACAUGUGGGAAUUACAAAACCUGAUUUAACUGAGAGCAGCCUUCCAUUUGUAACCUCCAAAACUAGCGGGCAAAUAAGUACCAAGGCUGUACUACUUUACUGUCAUGUCAAUGCCAGGGUUAUAUGGAUGUUAGACCAAGCUCCACAGACAGAUAAGGCAGAACAGAAGUGUAGGACUCUGUUGAUGAUAUUCUGCACAUCACCCCAGUCUCCGAGUGCUGAGAGAUUCCAAGGGUUCCAGGCGCUUAGACAGGAUUUGCGUUUCAUUUGGAAUGAUGGACCAUGGGUGGAGACGGUGGUAUCUUACUGUUGUACUGUUUUAUUGUUGUUAGCCGCCCUGAGCCCGGCUUCAGCUGGGGAGGGCAGGAUAUAAAUAAAAUUUAUUAUUAUUAUUAUUAUCUUUAUGAUAUAUGGUUUAUUUACACAUAUAUACAACCUCAGCCUGCGAUAGAGGGGUUCACAGCAUUAACACCCCAAAAGUGUCUUGUUUCUGAAGCCUUGGAUACAAACAGAAAUCAAACAUUGCUUAGACUCUCUCCAGUUGAGGAAGGGGCUCACACAAAUCCACUUUCCUUUGUUUCCCUUCAUGGCCCAUCACCAAGUCUAUCACCUCCACACAGGAAGCUAGCCUGACUUAUAUUUUAACACUUGCUAGAUCCCGGGGUUAGGAGGGGCUCUUGCAUAUAGCCUACUUCCCUCCACCCCAAACUCGUAAUAAUAUUAAUCUUUUUUUAAAAAAAAGAUAUUUAUUAAGAGUUUACAAAUUACAGAAAAAGAGAACCGGAAAAGAAAACAAUAAAGAAUUAAUCUAACUCAUCCAAUUCUGAUUUCAUGCAGAUUUUCUAACUGUGCCCUAAUACACAAAGGUUUUGGCAGGAAAUAUUGAUAAGCAUUCAGAAAGUAAUGGGAUAUAACAUUCUUUCUAACCCCCAAAAGAUUGUAUCAAGUUUAUUUAAAAGCAACAGGGAAACAGUAGAUUUAGUUUAGAACUAUUAAAUUUCUGUCAGCUUCACAAAUAUUUACAGCUGCUAACUUAAGUACCCUUAAAUGCCCCCACCAAGUUAACUUAUUUUUUUCAAUAACAGACUGAUAAGUCUAAUGAGAUGAAAGUGUAUUUGCUUAUACAUUCUUGGAAUAAUAAUUUUGAAGACAAGUUGCAACCAUACCAUUUUUCUAUGGUAUGUUUGUGUUGGCUUUUCUUUUUCUUGUUCAGAUUUUUUCAGUAUUAGAUCACCAUUAUUCUAUAAUCAUUGCUUUGUAUAUUUUUGCAUUCUUACACUUUUGUAAGUUAGACAAACAUAGAUAAGGGUUAUUUUUUAGUACUGAAAUGCCAUUAUUUGCGUAGCAACCUAUUGCCAGACUUGGAAUUUGUCCAAACAAGUUUUCAAAAUGCUGACUAUAUUCUUUCACUGCAUUUUUCCCCCUUAAGGAAGGCACAGAACAUGCAGUUUUGGGGAGGGAGGGGUGAUUAUGAAAUAAGUGGGUCAUUUAUGAUGUCGUAUAGAGGCAGGGGGGAGGGAUCUAGAAAUCAAAAACCAUGAACAUUUCUGAAACACCCCAUAAAAGCAAAACUUUGAUGUUUUCAAGCCACACCUAAAUUGCAUAUUUCUACAAGAUACUCCCAGACAGGUUAAAUAGCAAAGAUUUGCCCUGUUUUGCAGUUACUUGCAAAAUUCAUUAAAACAAAUUAACCAAAUGCAACCGAAUUUGUGCACGGCAUGCCACUUGGGUUUACUAGGAUGUGCAAAACAUGUUUACUCUCAUACCAGUUAAAUGAAAACCGGCUCCACCCACCUGCGUUUCCCGUAGCACCUGUCACUGUCUACCAUGUAACAAGGAUUAGGUAAAGGUAAAGGGACUCCUGACCAUUAAGUCCAGUUGCGGACGACUCUGGGGUUGCGACGCUCAUCUCACUUUAUUGGCCGAGGGAGCCGGCAUACAGCUUCCGGGUCAUUAGGCCAACAUGACUAAGCCACUUCUGGUGAACCAGAGCAGCGCACGGAAAUGACGUUUACCUUCCCGCUGGAGCGGUACCUAUUUAUCUACUUGCACUUUGGCAUGCUUUCAAACUGCUAGGUUGUCAGGAGCAGGGACUGAGCAACGGGAGCUCACUCCGUCGCAGGGAUUCGAACCACCGACCUUCUGAUCGGCAAGCCCUAGGCUCUGUGGUUUAACCCCCAGCGCCACCCGUGUCCAUGUAACAAGGAUUAACAAGGAUUGUACUUCCCAAAUGUUUUCUGUGGAUUGUUCUUUAUUGCAAUGCACAGAAAUAGGUUUUAAUUGCAAAAAGGAUCUGAAACAGAUACCAUUCAGCAUUGUAUAAUUAUGUGAUUAUAGUGUAUUGAUUUCCAGUUACUUUAUAUUAGGUGCUUAACAACUGCAUUGGCAGGCAGGUUGCUGUCAGCAGUUUCUGCCUGAUACUUCACCACUCAAUCACAACAUCUGCUGAGGUUGCAACUCUAAGAAGGUGGGGUCCUAGGUACUAGUUAUGAUGCUUCUUCUCUUUCAAUCCUAGUUUAGGAUAGAAACUAAGCUAAACUAGGAUAGAAACCACAGGCUAAACUCCACAGUUUAGCCUGUGGAGGACACCUCCCCACCUUGCAAACUCACACACAAGCACACUGUUUUGUUCUUUCCCAGAGACCUAGGAAACAGCUCACAGCAGCACCCUGUUCUUUGUUUAGCCCUACCGAAAGGUUAUGUAGGCUACUGUUUGGACUGCCAGUGUAUUUGAACCCUUGAUACUUGACCACAGGUGUGUGUUGCUACUUUCUGCUGUGCUCCCUUUGAGUUCAAAGGAUUAGUAGGUUUAGGAUGGUGUUCAAUUUGCAGCUUGCCCCUGGACACCACGAGGUAUAUUUUGAAUGGCUAUGCACAAUUAUGCAGCAAUUGGUGACCAAACCCAUGUUGAUUCUCCCCUAAAUACAAAAUGUGCCUUCUCUUCUAUCCUCUCCCCCACCAGCCCAUAACUACCUAUCCAGAAAAUAAACACUGCUCAAUGCAUAUGAGGUGCAGCUAUUCUGUAAGCACCACAAGAAUGAACAUAGGAAGUUCCCUUAGAGUGAAUCAGGAAGAGCUUUCUGACAGUAAGAGCUGUUCAACAGUGGAAUGGACUACCCCGGGAGGCUGUGGACUCUCCUUCCUUGGAGGUUUUUAAGCAGAGGUUGGAUGGCCAUCUGUCAAGGAUGCUUUAGUUGAGAUUCCUGCAUUGCAGGGGGUUAAAUCAGAUGACCCUUGGGGUCCCACCUCUAUGAUUCUUUGAAUCAAAUCCAAUGGUCCAGCUAGUUCAAAAUUGUCUACACUGACUGGCAGAAGCUCUCCAAGAUUUCAGCAGGGAGUCUCCCAGCCCUGUCUGGAGAUGCUGGGGAUUGAACUUAUUGCAUGCAAAGCAGCUCCGCUUCCACUAAGCUACAGCUCUUCCCCUCCAUUGUGGAAUUCAGUAUUCCGUCAGUCAUUUAAGGAUUUUUUUUCAAGGCAAUUUAUGGUCAGUUUACUAACACACCUGCGUAAGAAGCAAGUACAGACAAGCUCCAAAAGAAUAAAUGAACACAGUGUACUGUGUUGAGAAGUAGCUGACGGUUGUAAUUCCGUUGCAAAACAAAAACAAAAAAACAACCCAGUGUUGAGUCUUGUCACAUUUAUUAUGGCAUACGUUUUGUGGACCAAAGUCUACUUCAUCAGAUGCAUGAUAAUGUUGUUCUCCAUUGGCAGGGGUACUGUUUAUGGAUGCAAGGGGGGAAUCUGUAAACAAGUUAAAAUGGCAAAGACAUGCAUAAAGUACAAUAUGUGACAAUUCAGUUAAAUUUCAGCAUUAAUUUGAAUUGUGUCACAAACUAUUUUUUUGCAUGUCUUGUUUGCCAUUUUAACCCCACUGUUUAUAGUGUUUCAGUUUUCUCUGCACAGGUUUGUUUUUGAGCUCAGUGGAACUAAGGCUUCGACCCUAAAGGUGGUAGGAUUGCUUUUUUCUUUUUCUUUUCCUCUUAUUGAUUUUCCUGUGCCUGAAACGGUAGCUAGAUGAUCAUAACUUUAGCAGGCUGCACAUACUAAAUGGGGUCUACAGAAUGUAUGGGAAAGGGCAGUAUCUCUGGUGGGGGGACACGUCAUGGUCCUUCUGGGGUUGUUUGGCCACCUUUUGUGUUGAAGAGAGAAUUUGGGCAAAGUUCCCACUUUUUAAUCUCUGUAUGGGCAAACUGAGCCUGCGGAAAGGAGCUCAGUCAUCUUUUACAUCUGAUCACCCGCUAGGUGAAGCUGUGAUCCUCAAACCUACUUACCCAGCAGCAACUGUAUUAGGAGUGAAUAGGAUUUACUUCCAGCUAAUUGAAUUAAGGAUCAGAAGGCAUGGCUGUGGUUCUAAAAGGACAGACUAUCAGGAUUCUCUCAGGGCACCUCCAUUCUUUCCAGAAUAAAUUGAUCACAGCCAAAUAUUACAUUAGUAUGGAUAAAGCCUCUACAUUUAACGAAACAGAAAUAAGAAGUAUUGAUAGGUCACUUUGCCUCUGACUGUGCUUUAAACAGCUGCAUGACAGGUAGAAUUUCUACAGGUGUGGAAUUUUCCUAGCUCAUCAGUGCAGUGAUGGGGAGAACUGAUGCUUUUGAUUUUCUACUGCCAUGCAUUUCUUAAAGGCAUAGAACUUCAAUCAGGAACAAAAGACAAGAGGCUACAGUUAGAGGUAGACUGAUCAAGAUGCCAGUAACUAAGUUAGUUUCAUAUUAAUGUAUGUCCUGAUAAUAGCAGGCUUUGAAUUUUGAUUCAUUUUCUAACUGACACAAUGUUUAUAUAACUGACAAAUAAGAGGUCAAGCCUUGGUAUCAGCCUAGUAAAGGUGCCUGCAGAUUAUUAGCUGGAAUUAGCUAAGUAAAGCUGUGUUAGUGGGAGAACAAUAGAAACACUGUUCAGUGUAAUCAGGUCAGACUCUGGGAGGGCUCCUGUACCCUUAGCAAUUGCAAUAAAGUGAGAAUUUCAUGUGGUGCAGCUUCUCUCAUCAAUGCUGCAGCAUGAUGGGAAAAGUUGCAAAAAGUUUUUUUAAAAACCCUCCCUUCUGUGAAACUCUUAUAAGUACAGGAACCCCCUCAGGGUCUCAACCUGGCAGCUAGGGAGGGGAGAUGUUUAUUGCAAUAUUACUGCUGUAUUUGAUUUUGGUUUUGCACUUAGAAAUUAUAUUAACAAAGAGUUGCUUGAAGGACUCUGGGUGCUGGCCCAUAACACAAAUGCUCCCAUGCUAAUUUAGAUGCAUAAACGCCUCUGAGCAAAUUAAGAUGCUGGGUGGUUGGGGUCUUGCCAGCAUGGCACUUUGAAGUGUGUCUAGCUGCCCUCCUAAGCCAAGCAAGAAAAAAAGAAGUUUUUCAAGAAGGGAGAGAGAGGAGCAGAAAAUGCAAGCCUGACUCAAAACGGCCUGGGCUCAGCCCCCUCUGGGCACUCUCUGAGCAUGCCCCCUGAAUGUUAAUGAAUGGGUCCCUGAAGGUAGUGAGCUCUGAAGGUUUCGGUCUCUGAAUCCAAAAAGCUUGUUAAAGAAGUGACAGUGCUUCACGGAAGGAUUUUUGCACCUCCAUUUCUCUCGGAACCACUCCAAACACAUUUCAGUAAGUAACAUGCGUCUUUCAAGGGCUACUCCAAGCUGAUUCUUUCAAAUAAUUUAUGCUUGAGGUCCUACCCCAUGAGACACACCCAGGUGAAACCAGUUUUCUCUAAGGCUCCACACCCUUCAAUUUCACCUUAACAAUUAAGCAGAGAGAGAGAGAGAAAGUCUCAAGAAGAUGUCCCAAUAUGCUGCAAAGUAUAAAUAACCCAUAAACAGCCUCCCUACUCUGCAUCGAAUGCACAACUUCAGCUGCAAAACAGAUUUAACUAAUUUACAAAGGAAACUAUUCAUAUAAAAGCCUCACAUCAGCCAUUAAUGUUGUCAGGAGAUCAAACCCUCCCAAUUCCCACGGCCUGGUGGGCCAUAUGCAACACUCGGCUACACAGUGGCAUAAUGUAACUCCAUAAAAGGAGAAGAUUAAUAUUCAUAUGGCAUUUAAUUAACUGCUAAGCAGCAAUUCAUAGGUGUUGGUUCCCUCUGCGCUCGACUGGAUAGCUAGAUAGCACAGAUUACAAUUAGUGCUAUUUUGGGCUCCAUUUCUUUGAGAGGUCAACCAGAGCAUAAUCUAGUGAUCCUCUGUUUAGUCAUUGUUACGCUUGCCAUUUUAUUCUGGCAGUGCUCCUGUGCUGUUAACAACUCUGGAGGCUAGAAAUCUGAUUUUAAAAAGCAACUGCUAAUCUUGUAAGGAUGGAGGGGAUAUUUUAAAACAAAUUGACCUAAUUCACCGGUUCCACGCUUAGAUGCAAAUUAGAACGCAGCUAUCAGUUCCUCAAAUUUUGCAAUGCUGUUUUGGUUUAAAUGAAAAGAAACAAAAAUGCAUAUUUCACAUUAAAAAAAGUGUAAAAAAUGGAUAUUUUUAGGGAAACUCAAAAGUAUACACAAAUGUGUGUUUUAGGGAGUUGGAUUGCAUAAAAUGUAUAUGAAAUGCAUACAGUUUAAUCUGAGUCUUCUGCAAAAAGAAAAGAAAAGAUCAGGACAAAACAGACAUAUGAUUGAGAAAUAAUGUAAGGUCUCAAAUACAAAACUGACCAAAAAAAACCAAAACAGAAAUAAGCUGAUCCAGCCCCAUAUAAUUUUGCCAGGAUGCAGAACUCUAUGUCAGAUAACAAAUCCAUUCUUGGGCAGUACAGUGGUACCUUGGGUUAAGAACUUAAUUCGUUCUGGAGGUCCGUUCUUAACCUGAAACUGUUCUUAACCUGAAGUACCACUUUAGCUAAUGGGGCCUCCCGCUGCCGCCGCACGAUUUCUGUUCUCAUCCUGAAGCAAAGUUCUUAACCCGAGGUACUAUUUCUGGGUUAGCAGAGUCUGUAACCUGAAGCAUCUGUAACCCAAAGUACCACUGUACAGUGGUACCUCGCAAGACGAAUGCCUCGCAAGACGAAAAACUCGCAAGACGAAAGAGUUUUUCGUUUUUUGAGUUGCUUCGCAAGACGAAUUUCCCUAUGGGCUUGCUUCGCAAGACGAAAAAUGAAAACGUCUUGCAAGUUUGUUUCCUUUUUCUUAAAACCGUUAAUACCCAGGGUGCAUUGCAUGAAGAGGUGCAGUUGCGACUUGACUUCGAGGAGCAACUCAUAGCACGCAGUGUGGUAGCCUUUUUUGAGGUUUUUGAAGACUUUGGUGAUUUGAAGACAGUGGUGCUUCGCAAGACGAAAAGUUCGCAAGACGAAAAAACUCGCAGAACGAAUUAAUUUCGUCUUGCGAGGCACCACUGUAUAACACUAGAACUUUUGGGAGAUGGAGGCUGAUAAAAAGCAAGUCCUUGUUCACAUCACAUAGUUAAAAUAUGGAACUUGCGCCCACAGUAGGCAGUCAUGUUCACCAUCUUGGGUGGCUUUAAAAGAGAAUUUGACAAGUUCAUUGAGGAUAAGGCUCUCAGUGGCUAUUAGGCAUGAUGGGCCCCAUUAACUACAGACCCCCAAAUUUGGGAUCCUCUCCAAACCUGUGCAGUUUCAAUGCUCAGUUUGUGUGGCGCUACAAAAUGCCGGGCUUUUGCUGCAAAACAACUACAACAAUUUGGCACCAAUUUGGAGGGAACCCUAAAAUUGGGGUUCAUAGUUAAUAUUAAAUAUGGCCCCCAUGUUUGAGAUAUCAAUUGCUCAGCUUGUGGGGCACUGCUAAACACUCCCCCAAAACUGCAAAACUUCGGCACGGGUUUGGAGAGGAUCCUAAAUUUAGGGGUUCAUAGUUAAUUUUCCUGGUGUUAUGGUUAUGUGCUGCCUUCACAGUGAGAGGCAGCAAUACUUUAAAAACCAGUUGUUGGAAACCACAGGAAGGGAAAGUGCUCUUGUGCUCAAGUCCUGUUUGCAGGUUUCCCACAGGCAUUUGGUUGGUCACUGUGAGAACAGGAUACUGGACUAGAUGGGCCAUUGGCCUAAUCCUACAGGCUCUUCUUAUUUUCUUUGUUUAACAGCAGAUGCAUUAAAUACACAUCGCCUGAAUAUUUUACACACACCCAAUCCCACUGGAAGAGCAGAACCUAGGUCAGUUUAUUGGAUGUUUGCUUUUGCAACUGGCAGAGUUAAGCAUUGAUGCAUCAGAAUAGGUUGUUACAAACAAACCAAGUUCAAACAUUAAGAACAUCUUGGAGAACCCUUUCAGUCUUCAAAGGUUUCUUGCACUAUGAGGCAAAGCUUGCACAGGUCCAAGCAUCAACUACAUCAACAGAGUAUUAUUGUUUAGUUGAGAUUACAGCUGUUGUAACAUGUGAUUUCAACAAUGAUUUCAAUUACCCAGGAGGAUGAACAUCUGGUGCAUGCCGUUACUUCAGAGCUGUAUGAUCCUGUCCAAGCAAUAUUUACCAGGGCUCAGUAGACUCAGAAGAAGAAAACAAACAUGUUAAGUAGAGAAGCUCUUCAUAAAUUUUGGAUUAAUUGGAGUACAAUAACAAUUGCACGCAGCAAAAGGCAGCUCUCCUGGUUGUCCUGUUGCCUGCUGAGGCUGUGCACACACUACAUCUUUUUAAAAUAUCCAGAGCACUGUGGUUUGUUAUGGUUGCUGGGAAUUGCAACUCUGUAGGAGGUAAACUACAGUACCCAUAAUUCUUUGAGGGAAGGAAUGUGCUUUAAAGGUAUAGUGUGUACACAGCCUUCAACACAUUGUAUUGCAACCCAUGAAGGGGAGGAGAGGGCCUUCUCAAACAUUGGACCUAGCCUAGGGAAUUCCCUCUGAAACAAGUCAAGGGACAGCUGGUUUAUCAGCUGCAGCCAUUCCUGGGCCAGGACAGCCUGGUAUCACUAAUCCAUGUUCUGAUAACCUCUUGAUUGGACUAUUACAUUGUGUUUUAUGAGGGGCUAUUCUUGAAGAUGGUCUAGAAGCUGCAAUUGGUGCAGAACGCAGCUACUCAGCAAUUAAACAGGGCAACAAGGUAACUCAUAUGACAGUCAUCCUUAAAAGAAGCAUUGCAUUGGCACCCUGUGAACUACCAGGCUCAGUUCAGGUUGUACAAAUUCCUAAACAGUUUGGUACCCGAGUUCUUAAAGGAGCACCUCCCUGAGUGCGACACAUGUCUUAGAUCACCAAGGGAGGUCACCUAGGACAGGGCCUUCUCAGUGGUGGCACCCUGAUUGUGAAAUUCUGUCUCAGCAAAAAUAUAUUUGUCCCCUGGAUUAUCAAUCUUUAGAUAUCAGCUAUAGACAUAUUUUUUCAUCUGCACUUUUAGAUAUAAAUGCCCAAAGACCCAGCUGCUUAGUACAUUAUGUUUUGUGUUAAGUAAGGUUGUUUUAGAGAUGUCAUUUAUAGGUGUUAUAAUGUUUUGCAGUUAUUUGAUUGUGUUUUCAGAUUUUAUACACUACCCUGGGCUCCUGUGCAAUGAAGGGCAAUCUAGAACUAAAACAAAUAAAGAAAUGCAAUAUUUAAUAGCUAUGUUAAUCUUUUGGUCUUUAUGCAUACUUGUAGCUAAUGGGCAUUUGUAUCCUGUAACAGUGCACCAUUUCACAUUAGAAGAUAAUACAUUCUUUCCUAGCUAGUCCAUGCCUUUACAUUCUUUAUAGCUCAAGUUUCCACCACUGCUUUCAAGUUGGUGACAAGUUUCCUCAUAAAGCUGGUGAAGAUGUUUACCCUCUUAGGUCCAAGCACAGAAACCCACAGUUCCUAGGGCUGGAGACACACAGUGAAGACCCACCCCCAGUAACAAUACACAUCUCUAUAUCUCCCCACUGAUCUCUCAAGUGAUAAUGCAGCAGCAGGUGGUUGGUUGGUCAGGAAUCCAAAGGUAGCAUCCAAGGGCCCUAGGCAACAACACUGUUUUGCCAUGUCUAGUCCUUGGCCUCUCCAGGUAGGACUGAGAGAAAACCCUGCCUGAAACGCUGCAGAGUUGCUACCAGCGGUUCUCAACCUGUGGGUCCCCAGAUGUUGUUGGACUACAACUUCCAUCGUCCCUGAGCUCUGGCCUUGCUAGCUGGGGGUGAUGGGAGUUGUAGUUCAACAACAUCUGGGGACCCACAGGUUGAGAAAGGCUGGUUUAGACCAAAGUGAGCUAGAUGAGGCAAUGUUCUGACUUGCUGUAAGACAGCAUCUGAUGUUCUAGCCACAUACUGGAAGAGGCCAUGCCUUAAAAGGGUCAGAAAUCUAAUCUAACAUCUAAUCUAGAUGUGUGACUAGUGGGGUGCCACAGGGUUCUGUCUUGGGCCCAGUCUUAUUCAACAUCUUUAUCAACGACUUGGAUGAUGGACUCAAGGGCAUCCUGAUCAAAUUUGCAGAUGACACCAAACUGGGAGGGGUGGCUAACACCCCAGAGGACAGGAUCACACUUCAAAACGACCUUGACAGAUUAGAGAACUGGGCCAAAACAAACAAGAUGAAUUUUAACAGGGAGAAAUGUAAAGUAUUGCACUUGGGCAAAAAAAUGAGAGGCACAAAUACAAGAUGGGUGACACCUGGCUUGAGAGCAGUACAUGUGAAAAGGAUCUAGGAGUCUUGGUUGACCACAAACUUGACAUGAGCCAACAGUGUGACGCGGCAGCUAAAAAAGCCAAUGUAAUUCUGGGCUGCAUCAAUAGGAGUAUAGCAUCUAGAUCAAGGGAAGUAAUAGUGCCACUGUAUUCUGCUCUGGUCAGACCUCACCUGGAGUACUGUGUCCAGUUCUGGGCACCACAGUUCAAGAAGGACACUGACAAACUGGAACGUGUCCAGAGGAGGGCAACCAAAAUGGUCAAAGGCCUGGAAACGAUGCCUUAUGAGGAACGGCUAAGGGAGCUGGGCAUGUUUAGCCUGGAGAAGAGGAGGUUAAGGGGUGAUAUGAUAGCCAUGUUCAAAUAUAUAAAAGGAUGUCACAUAGAGGAGGGAGAAAGGUUGUUUUCUGCUGCUCCAGAGAAGCGGACACGGAGCAAUGGAUCCAAACUACAAGAAAGAAGCUUCCACCUAAACAUUAGGAAGACCUUCCUGACAGUAAGAGCUAUUCGACAGUGGAAUUUGCUGCCAAGGAGUGUGGUGGAUUCUCCUUCUUUGGAGGUCUUUAAGCAGAGGCUUGACAACCAUAUGUCAGGAGUGCUCUGAUGGUGUUUCCUGCUUGGCAGGGGGUUGGACUCGAUGGCCCUUGUGGUCUCUUCCAUCUCUAUGAUUCUAUGAUUCUAGCAGGUGAUUCGUAAACUAUAAAGAUACACGCCUGUUCCUCCUCCUGUUUCAGGAAGGAAGUUCUAUGUUUUGAAGCUGGCAUUUAAAACUUUGCAGGAUGUGUUCCCUGGACAUGUUGUUGGAGUGCCUGCUUUCCUGUUGCUCACCGCCCCCAUGGAAAGACUAGCUUGCUGAAUGCAACACUAUGAACUGUUAACAGGAACACACACACACAGCUAUGUUCAUAUCUUUGAAGCUGAACAAUAUAUCCAGAACUUGUGUGGGUUGGCUGGUGCUGCAAUUCACCCUCUCUUGGAGAAGGGCUGGCAACAUGAUAUUUGAAAGUUAAUGCUCCUCAUCUAAAGGUACAAAGUUCACCCUUCAUAAAUCGCUUAUUUGGACUCCCACCCAAACUCAAAAGAAGUGUUUGCUGCGCUUGUGGCACCCACUCGCUUGCCGAAGUUCCUUCCAGACAACCCUUCUGAGGUGGGCCUCUUAACAGUGGUCUUAGUAUGCUGCCCUAUACAUUACCCCAGUAAUCAAGCUGCAGCCCACUCUGUUCUUGAACUAGGACAAUGCUCAGCUAUAGAGCAAACUGUGUGGAUUAUUGCUAAUGAGCAAGAUUUAGAGACAGAUUUAAAGGCAGUUUAAAAGCACGCCUUGUCUAGAUUCUGACCACAUUCAAACCAUACAUAUAAAGCACUUUAAACAGUCGCGGCUGCCUGUAAAGAGGGAUUGACAGUUAACCCGCGCUGGAAAUUGUAGCUCUUUGAGGGGAAUAGGGGUCUUCUAACAACUCAGCUCUUUUAACAAACAACAGUUCCCAGAGUUCUAUAGGAAAAGCUAUAACUGUGUAAAGUGAUGCUGAUCUACAUAUAUGUUGUGAAUGUGGCCUCUGUUCCAGCCCACAGGCCAAAGUGGGAUGAGAGGACUUCUACAUCAGAUUCGGUCUGCUGUUCAGCAGAAUGUCCAUUUGCUACAGAAGACUGCCUGCUACCAAGGCAGACAGGAAAUGUGGGUUGGGUUGGCCCAUGGUGCUCAUGCAGAUGCAGGGCAAGUGUGGAGAACCGGAAGACCAUAACCAUCGGAAGCUGGCAGAAAAUACUGAGCUAGAUGGACAGGUGGUCAGAAUUGGUAUAAAGCACCUUCCUAUGUUUGUAUGGCAGGGAUCUAUCCACAACAUUCUCCAGUGUCCUGAUUGCAUUUUCCCUUCCUCUCCAGCUCCCUGAACCCAGUCAGUAGGCUGCUCAUGAGGCAAGGUAGCAGGCUCCAGGCACCUGAGAGAGGUGGCAAGGCCGGCCUCUGAGGAGCACGCUACCCACUUCCUUCUGCACUUGUAGGCCGCCACCUCCUCUGCUGCACAGAGAAGGAGCAUUUUCUGUUUUUCCUCUAGGGGCAGAGCAACCUGGGGCAGCCCUGCCAGUCAAUGUUCAGGACGGCUUCAAACUGCUUCUCUGGUCCUCAGGAGUGGUCUGAAGAGGCCUGAUCCAACCCACCAGACCUUUGUAAAAGGCCCACCAGCUCCCAAACCAGUGUGUUGCCAGCAUAGGUGAUGGUGAGCAGUGCUUAGGAGCAGAUCAGAGUGCUCAGGUAUGAGGAGGGAGCAGUCCCAUCUGCUCUGAUGCACCUGGAAAAAAAUGGAGCAGACCUAAGCACUCCUUUCUGUUUCCGGGCUGCUCUGAUCUGCUCCUCAGUACUGCUGAUGUUGUUGAUGUCUCAGCAUACGCCAGGGUAGUAAUUAAAAAUGGCACUGGCCUAGAGGAGGGAAAGCACUGCAGUAUUAGUUGGAGCCUCUGAUAGGUUUGGCUACUUCGUGUGUCUCUUGUAAGGAGUUAUGCAUACCAGACUGGGGGGCAGAGCAGAGAAUGUGUGUCCUUAUUCCCACCUAUUUCAUCCCCUUUUGCUAUUAUUAUUUUCCCCGUCUAGAUGUCUUUUAAAAUCUCCCAGAGUUCACUUAUUCACUCAGCAUGCCGUUGAAAGCCUUCCUGUGUUACAUUAAGAAGUUUUCUUUCUGUACUUGCAGAUACUCCAGCCCUGGCAUGUUUCAGAAUACAGGACAUAGGUUUAAAUAGGGGUAAUCUGCUAAUACAUAUCUCUCCUCUGCCUGUGUGUGCGCCUGCAUGGAUGGGAGAGAGUGUAAGAGUGUGGCCUGGCCACACUCACUUAGGGCCACAUCCAUUGCUGGCAUGUGGCUUCCAGAGGGGUUGCAGUGGGACCAUGCAAAGGCUUUGGACCAAGAAAACGUUAUCUGUCUCCGCUCUGGUUGGAGAGUGUCACCUUCCAAGGCUUGACAGACAUUCAAGACUAUCAGGAAAACAUCUCUAGCCAUUAAAGAACAUUAACUCCUGAUUACUCAUAUCUGUACUCAACAUAAACUGGAGAAUGGGAUUUAAGGACUCCAAAGUUAAAAACCUAGGGUGGGUGGUAUUCAACUGACUUUUACUCAGAGUAGACCCAUUGAAAUAAAUAGAUUUAACUCAGUCAUGUUCAUUAAUUUCAAUAGGUCUAUGCUGAGUAUGACUUACUUGAAAGCAUCUCUGCAUUAUUAAAAAAAGUUAUUCACUGUCCUGCCUUUGACUCCAGUUGGAUCUCUAACAUUAACAAAAUGUUUUACAAGCACCACCCUCCUAAUCAUGUUUGUUCAGAUUUUUAUUUUAUUUUAAUGAGACUUAAUUGGAGGUAAAUAUGCUUAGGACAAUCUUUUUCUCCAAAUGAGCAAAUGGAACUUUAUAAAGCAUGGAAGUUCUGCUGCCCUUUAUAAAAGUAACAUGAUUUGUUCCAUCAGUUUAAAAUUUGGUAUGGAGGAUUUAUUUGGUGAGUUGUACAAGCUCUCUGGAUUUCAAAGAAAUCUGAUGGAAGAAUUAGAGGAAUGGGAGUGUCUGUCUCUGAUCAUUUCUUAUUUUAUUUUUUGCCAACUAAGAAAAGAAUCUUAAACUUGUCAUUUUGGUGACUGAAAUUAUUUUAAAAAUGGAAAUAUUCAUUGUUUUUUCUUUUGUUAGUUUGUUUAAAAUGGGCUUGGCAGUUUUAAAGCUAGAGGGCUUUUAAGUUCCCAUUUUACCCAAUGGAGAGAGAACUAUGGGCAAAUUAUGCAGCAAAAGUAACUUGUAUACAAUGAAGACAGAACAGAACUGUAGCUUUUAUUUUAAACUGAUUUAAAACUAGCCAAACCUAAUAUAUCCCCCCUCCCAUCGUGGAAUGAACCUAUUCUGGUUUACAUGGGUGUAUUGAGCGAUAUUAUUAUGGUAACUGGUCCUAACAGAUUAGUCGUAGUGACAUUUCAAAAGGCUAACUUGAGGGGGGAAAGGCAUUUCUUAAAGUCUAUUCAUAUAUCUAUGCCACCCCUUCCAAUAACAUACUAUCAUUUGAAAGCAUAAAAAUAUGUUGCAGGAAUAACAAGAAAACAUGCAUGUCAGUGUUGGAGAGGAGGUGAACUUCAGUCACAGAAUGCAGUUACCAGAGAUCCCAUCCCCACAACAAAUAUUACAAGAGUACCAUUCAAUGUUCUUUGAAUCUAUCAAACCCCCAUCAGCUGUCUGGCUUGGAGCUGGGAGAGAUGCUGGAAUCCCACCUCCCCUUCCCCAAUAAACCUUUCUAAAUCUCAGUGGGUGGGUUUUGCCGCUCCAUUAGCUCUGGCCGAUCACGAACUUUGAACUUGGGAAGACAGUUUUCCCAGGUCAGAUUGACUAGAGGUGGAAUGUCUGUGUACAUCCAUGUGUAAGAAGUCCCUGGUCUCUCCUAGCUGUGUCCUGUUUCUCUUGCAUACAGCUGUUUGCUCCACAGACACUUUUCUACAGUGCACCCACUCCCUGUUUGUGUUAUGUUUGGUCUGUACUUUCAGGAUCUUGGUGUUUUCAGGCAUGUUGUGACCAAGGAUAGCAUUACCUGACCUAUGGGGGCAUGUUGGGUGGAUGGUCUUGCCAUUCAGUAUGAUAGCUUUACUAAAUGCCUGAUGGAUCUUCCAGUGAUAAUGAUUCUGUGAACUGAAUGUCAGAAAUGUGGCAUCUGCUCCAACACUACCUGCUAUGCUAUGGCAGCUGCCACUCCAGUGUAGCAAUAAUAGUAAUUAUAAUUUAUUAUUUAUACCCCACCCAUCUGGCUGGGUUUCCCCAGCUACUCUGGGCGGCUUCCAACAGAAUAUUGAAAACACGCUAAAAUAUCAAACAUUAAAAACUUUCCUAAACUAUGAACAGAGGGGGAGGAGUAUACUGUUCUCUAAAAGAAAGAUCCAUGUGAAGAGCACAUAGAACAGUUAUGCAUUGGGAAUUAGACUGUGUUGAUCUGAUUCACCGAAUUACACAAAUCAUGUUUCUUUGCUUAUAAAAAUAAUAAUUGUCCAAUCUUAGGGGAGAGCCAUGAGAAGACAUUACUGCUUACAAAAUGUUGACUCUGGGAAUUAUGAGAGUUUUGUUGCUAUAAACAAACGAAAGUACUAGUGCAAGGUUUGAUUGUUUUUUAAAAGGAUGUAUUCUUGGUUAUUUCUGCUAUACAUGUGGGAGGAAGUGAAUGGACAAAAUAUUUUUAGGGAAGUCUUUUCCCUCUAACCAUAGUGUGGAAAUAAGGUUUUCUUGAAAUGAUAAAACAACUCACCUCUCUUUUGGCUGGGAUAUCACACUACAAAUAUAAAAUGGGUGAUUAACUGGACUGCACUUUGUGCUGGGAUAUGUACACCACAGGCACAAACUGUUUCCCAUUUUGUGAAAGGGAGUGGUGAUGCCGCAAGCUCAGGUACACAAGCCACUCAAACUGCCGUACUGGAUCUUUUAAGGGGCUCGGUCUCAUGGGAUUAAUAGAGAUAAUGUAGAUACUGCAGGUUAUAUGAUUUGUGGAUCAGUUUUCCACUUGUUAGUGGACAAGGAAGCUCAUGCCUUUUGCAGAAACAUGAAUAUUAACAGAUGCUGCCUUUCCCUUGCAUGAUCAGAAAAGCUGCCCUUGGUGAACAUCUGCCUGUUCUUCUGCUCUCACUGACUCAGAGUCAGCAAGCUUUCAGGGGGGAAAGUGGCAACUCUGUUUGUGGAACCUGCUGAAAAACUGACUAAUUUUAACGCACAUCCAGUGAAGCAGCCAUUGUAGGAAAUGCAAACUGCAGACAACCAGGUUCUCCUGGAAUUGCAUCUGUCCCAACUGUUUUGAACAUUUGCACCAAGUAUACUUUAUAGUAUGCACCCCCACCUUUUCAUAUGAAGGUUUGAUUCACGACAAGCUGUCCUAGUUAAAAACUUAUUUUUUGUUGUUGCUCUUUCUGAAAAGUACACUUCGCGUGCUUUGACAUUUGACAUUUCACAUGUUAUCUUUGUUGGAUGUGCACGUAAGAUCGUCCUGUGAAUGUAAAAACUGUAACAUGUAAAUACCCCUAUCAAAAAGCCAGGGGUGCUUGUGGUUCUCAUUCAGAGUAAGAAAUCCAAGUGUGCCUUCAAUAAUGUGUAGAAUUGUCCAAAUGCAACCAUAUUAUUUGCUAUCAGCCCAAGGGCAUAUCUGUGCACUCCAAUCAACACAACAAGCUCUGAACCAGCUUCCCAGAGGGUGCAUUUGCCAGUGCUGUGGUUGUGCACUUGCAAAAUAUCAGUGCUUCACACCCUUGAAGACUUGUCUGAACUAUUGUUGUGCCUUUCUGUUCUGUAAAUACAAGGGAUUGUAAAGAGAGAUAGGAGAGCAAAGGUACAAUAGCAGAAAUUCCUCCACUCUACUGUAACGUUUGUCUGGCUACUUGGAUGCUUGGCACCGUGGCUAAAUUCCCUGUUUAACCUGGCAGAAAUCCAUUUUCAGCAAAUUUGAACAGUAUCCUAUAUUAGUUACAGUUUCACGCUACAGCUGAAAUUGUACACUCUGCACUCUGCGUGGCGCUUUUUUAAUUUUUCAAAGCAGGUGAAAUACCGUUUGCGGAUUUAUCUGUAAAUGAAUGGAAUUUGUCACGGAGAACGAAGGCUGCACACUAAUUGGAAGGUAAAUUCCAGGGAACCUGGAGGGACUUGCACCGUAGGAUCAGGCUACAAGGCAUGUCAACGAUGUCAGCUUGGAGCUUGUGAUUAAAUAUCACUUUCUCCACAAGCCAUGGUUCUUGCCAUCUACCAUAAAAGAGGAUCUACUUGACUUGCACCAGUUCACUCUCAGGCAUAAAGACAAAAUGCUUGAUUACCCCCCUGGAGAAUCAGAAUGCGAAGGAAGAGCAGGAAAAAGGUCACACUCUUGAUAAAAUUCAGACAUGAAGUAUCACCCCAAUACUGAAUUCCUUGUAUAUCCAAAGCUAUUUUAUAAUAAUGCACAACCCUGGGGUCCACACAGACAGACACACUUUUGUUCUGAAGUUUACUUGCACUUGCUUAAAAUACAAGGGAGAAGUCUCAAGUAAGCACAAAAGUAAUGAAUUGCAGUGGAAUGAAUCACUAGCACAAUGAAUCACUCAGCCUGAUUAAAUGUUCUGCCAGCUAUUCUCCGUCUUCACUCUCUGGAGGAACAAAGUUUAAUUUUAAACAAAAUCACAUAAAGUUUUAUUUGCCAUAAAAACCAGAUGUGGUAUAAAUAUAAGUAUAUCUAUCUAUCGGUUAACUCAUGCAGCAGAUAACCAGUUUCCAGAAUCGUAUCUAAUAAUGAAUUGAGCUCACACACACAGUGUGCUUCGUUCCAGUCCCCCUGGAAAUCAAGUUUUCUUUUACCUUGAAACACACUUAAAAAGUUUUAAAACUUCUUACCUUGAAGAAGCUCCGGAGAAAAUACAUUAUGCUUAGCAUUUUUGGAAAAAGGAAUAAGGAGCUGUUCAACCUUUAGAAUAUCCAAGGCCUGUGUGAAUUCCUACACCCCUGCUGUGUCUUUAGUUACAUGCUUUCUUGUUGCUAUUUUGGACAGACUUAGUACAAGAGAAUCAUAUGAGGCAUGCCAGGAGCUUAUGCUAAGGAGUUGCAUAACAAUUAGGGCUUAUCUGCGCUGGCUGUACAGUGCAAACAGGUUUGUUCACAGUUUGCUGGCCCCGGAGCAUUUCUACUGGGCAUGCUCAGAAUGAUAACCAUUGUGUUUGCUAAAUGUAUAAUACGAAGGACCAUUUGUGAGCUCAUCCAAAGGAGCUGGUAGCCAAUGAGACUCAAAGGGAAAGUACAUGGUCAUUUACAUCCUGUCCUUCUCUGCUCUCCCCCCCCCCUUUUGUUUUGUUUGCCAAGAGUUACCUCAAUCAAUGGGUAUUUAACUCUUCAUUUCACUCCUCCUCACUUUAGCCCUUAGCUCAGGGCAAAGAACAGCCGCUGUAAAAUGCAGACGCUGAAACCUCAUUAAAAUCUAGGCAGAAAUAUACCACUUGAACAUCUCCGCUACCUGUUUCCAAGUACAAAAAGCCUUCAUUUAUAUCCCACCCUUACUCCAAGCAGCUACAUGUGACGUACAUGGUCCCCCCCCCCAUUUUAUCCUCACAAUCCCCUUGUGAGGUAGGGUUAGGCUGACUGAGAGAGAGAGACUACAUUCCAGGUCACCCAGUGAGCAGGGCUGGCCCUAUCAUUUGGCAGAGUGAAGCAGCUGCCUCAAGUGGCAGAUGCUGGAGGGGAACAGUACAGAGGUGUUGGACAACAGAGUUGUGCGUGCUACACAGUAUUACUUCCAGUUGCGAACUUAGCCUGCUGCCCUCAGCGUGGUGGAGGAUGUUGACCUAUCCGUAGUGCUGAACUAAUAUUUCCCUGCAAUUAGCCUCAACAUACAGAAUGGGAAGGUGUCCCUGCCACCUCAGCUCCCAAAGCUAGGUUGCAUGGAAGUGCUCAUGAAGCGGCAGCAGCAGCAGGUUCUGGCUGCUGCCGCCAUCACUUCUCUGCCAGGGGCAGGCAGGGUGCCCGCAGGGAUGCCAUGUCUUGGCAUUCCAAGGCAGCUGCCUCAGCCUUCCUCAUGGGCCCUUCCCAUUCCUGGGAUUGUCUGCAUCGGUUUUCAAUCAGACACACCCCAAGGUAAUGUAGAAUCAAUCUUCAAUGAACUUUUCUUUUCAGAAUGAAACCAGAUUCCGAAGGAGAAUUUUUCAGGGGCAAAAAUAUAAGCAUUAGGUCUUGAUUGUAUAUGGACUAUGUAGGGGGAAAAAACCCAAUCUCCAUUUAUUAUAGAAGAAAAUGCAAUGUGUUCACAGACCUGGAUUUCAAAUCCUAGGUCAGUCACUGGGUGGCUUUGGGCAAGUUACUGCUGAAUCACUUUCUUAGGAGUCAAACAAGUAAGAAUACUUCAUUUGAACUAAUAAAUAAACUACAGAAAAUGCAAGAGCUGAUUGUUUCCUCCAGAUGGGACUUCCUCUCAGCCAGUUCCUCUAUGAGUCUGCUUUUCUGCUAUGCCAAUCUGCAGCCCGUUACCUGGAUGCAGACAGGCUGGCAAGGAGAGCAACCCCUGGGAUUAAUCCUGUAGUACAGCUAUUACUCAGCCCCCUUCUCCAUAUGUGACCUUCCUCACAAAGCUAUUAUGAGGGUAAAUGAAUUAAGGAUUGUAUUUAAAUAGGUCAUUGAACAUGUCUCCCCAGAGUUUGAGGGAUUAAGUGUUCUAUAAAUCAAAGUAAAUUAGUAAAUAGGGGUUAUCUGCUCUGCACCGUAGGGGACUUCUUAACCAAUGAAUUGCUCAAAUCAUUCCUUAAAAGUUGGAGCCAAAGGAAAAUGAAUUAAUUAUUGUAGUGGCAUUUUAAAAAAGCAACAUGGUUCCAAGCAAUGCGUGCUAGUCCCAUCCUGAUAUCAUUACAUGCAAGAGGAGACUGUAUACAUGUGGCUGUCCAUAAGGUCCUGCCAUCUUUACCUAUUGGGGUGAUUGUCUGUUAGGAAAUUGCCUUCUCCCAAAUGGGUCAGUACUGACAAAGCUGGUUGCCAUCAGUCAUAAGUGUAGGAACACUACAAAUGCACUACAUCAUCUUGGGAGCACAGUUUCAGUUCUUAUGGAGAUCAUGCAGCAAGCAGAAGGUGGAGCAGACUUGUCCCCAUUGCUCCACUAAAACCAAUGGUGAAAAUUACAAGAGAGCAUAUUUCAGUUUAGGAAAAACUUCCUGAUGGUAAUAGGUGUUCAAGAGUGGAACAGGAUGGCUCAGGAGUGGUGGGCUCUCGUUCGCAGGAGAUAUUUAAGCAGAGGCUGGAUGGUUAUCUGUCAAGGAUGCAUAGUGGUAUCUUGCAAUGCAGAUCCUGUAUUAAGCAUGACAUUUGGAAUAGAUGGUUUUGUCUUAAUUAUUGCAUUGCAUUGCAUUGCAUUGCAUUUGUAGCCCAUCGUUCUUCCAGGGAGCCUAAUGUGAUGUACAUGGCUCUCUUCUUCCCCGUUUUAUCCUCACAACAACCCUGUAAGGUAGGUUAGGCUGAGGGACUGUUACUGGCCCAAGGUCAUGAAGAAGUUUUAUGAUCUCCAACCGCAAGUCUUGAAGGUGGUCCAGCAACACUUCCUUGCGUGUAUGCUAGCUCUCUUGCAUAGCAGAGGGACGAUUGCAGAGCUUCGCGUUGAAAGGAUCAAGUUGUGCACAGCCGAUGGCAAUUAAACCCUCACGGAAGCAGUAAAGCUCAGCCAAGCAUUGUUUACUCGAAAGGCAUUGACAGUCUUGUCGGUAGAAGACUAUUUACAACUUUACUACCACACAGAUAGUAAGGCACACUUCAGGCCUACAUGCUGCCUACACACUGCUCAGUAGUCUCUCCCCUGCAGGAAUUGCGCAGGUCCGCAGAUAAGUGCUCCACAGCUAUUUCUAAGUGCUGUAGAGUAAACAAACUUGCACCUCGAUGCUUCAAGAAUCUUCAAGAAUAUACUCACAGUUUCUGGAAACGAAUGGCUCUUUCUCACUUACUCUUAACAGGUCACCCAGUGAGUUUCAUGGCUAGGUGAGGAUUUGAACCCUGGUCUCCCUGGUGCUAAUCCAAUACUCUUAAUUACUAUGCCACACUGGCAAGAUCUCCAAGGUCCCUUCCACCACUGCAUUCUAGGUUGAGUGUUUUGGUUUGGUUUUGCACAAUUAACAAAAACAGACACUGAAUAAAGAAAUGGAGAUAGAUGAAACAUAAUUGGUUCCUAGUGAGCUACUAAACCAUUAAGCCCUGUAUCUUUAACCUAUUGUGCCAUUCAUUCAAACAAGAUGGCAUUUAAGAUUUUGCCAAAGUGACUAGAGACUGGCAGAGGUUGUUUAAAGAGUGAAAAAUGUCAGCUUCCUUUGCACAGUUACAGGGAGAUAGGUUCCAGGGCUCAGCCCUGUCAAUCUUCAAUCUCUCUACUCCAAUAGUUUCAAAACACUUUUGUCUACUCCAAUAGUUCCCAAACAUGGACCACUUAAAAACUGCUGACUUUUGUGCCCAUUGUAGCAACUGUAACGCCCUGUGUUUGAUGCUGUGGAAUUUUUGAGGACCAAUUUUUCGGCUUUUGUAGACCACCUGAAUGAAGCUCAUAAACCACUGUUGGUACAUGAACCACAGUUUGGGAAGCUCUGAUCUACAUUGACUGGCAGCCAGCAGCAGCUGUGUAGAAUCUUUGGCUGAAGUAUUUCAAUCACCUGGUGUCUAAUCCUUUUUUUAUAAAUAAAUAAAAAGUGCGCAAGCUGGAGAAUGAACUCAGGGCCUUCUACAUGCAAAAGUUCUUAUUUUCAUUCACAUAGUGCCACAGGAUUGUUGUGAAAUGUGUGGAUCCCUAUGGCUCACCUUCUCUCUUUCCAUGGGUUUCCCUCCAUCAGUGUUCACGGAUCAGCAUUGCAAACCAAAUACUGCCACAUAAUGAUCUAUGAAAGUGUAGCUUUAAAUAUUCCACAUCUCUCUAUCUGCUUCUUUCAGAGGACAGAAAUGCUCUAACGAAUGCACACACCUUUUCCAUAAGAGUCUUGUGGGACCAGUAAGAGGAGGACUUGGGAGCGAGCUUUCUCAAGUGUAAGGAAAAGAAGGGCCAGCUGCCAACUAUGACAAAAAUCGCUCUCAAAAGGUUCUGAAAGGCUUGAGACUUCAUGUUUCCAAGGGAACAUCACCAAGCAGAGAAUCAUUAAGCAGCUAUUAUCUUAUUUCACAGAUAAAUCAGAGGCCAGCUCUUGUCUAAAACAAAGUGCUUGAAAACAGCAACCCCAAAGGAGUAUGAAUUAGCUUGUGCAGAGAGAUCGUCACAGUUUGAAACAUGAAUUAUAAGGCGGAACAAGGCUGAGGUUGUAAGAAAACAAAAAUCAUAAAACUGAAAUGUAGGGGUAGCCUCAUGUGAAUUUCAGUG